UACGGAGGGGACUAGCGUUGUUCGGAAUUACUGGGCGUAAAGCGCACGUAGGCGGAUUUGUUAGUCAGGGGUGAAACUCCCGAGGCUCAACCUCGGAACUAGCCUUUGAUACUGCAAAUCUCGAGUCCGGAAGAGGUGAGUGGAAUUCCUAGUGUAGAGGUGAAAUUCGUAGAUAUUGGGAAGAACACCGGUUGCGAAGCGGCCACCUGGACCGGCACUGACGCUGAGGUGCGAAAGCGUGGGGAGCAAACGG
rnacentral:rRNA from 1 species